GUGUGUGUGUGUGUGUGUGUGUUUGUACGUGUGCGCGUGUGUGUAGGGGAAUGUGAGUGCACCUGUGAGUGUGUGUAAGAGUGUGUGUAGGGGGGUAUGUGUGUGUGCUUGUGAGUGUGUGUAAGAGUGUGUGUGCGUGGUCAUGUGCAUGCACCUGGGCAUAUUCUUUAAUUGCCUCUGUACCUUUUUCAUCCAGUCUGUGUGUGUUUGUGUGCAUGAACACAAAUUUGUUAUUAGAAGAUAGAUUUGGGGAAUAGUCCUCCCACAUUGCACAUGCACACACACGUACACACACACAUGCUCUCUCAGGCACACACACACACACACACACACACACACCUUGAGAAAGCUGUAUUGUUUAUACACGUGUGCAGACACACCAGUGACCUCUUUCUAAUCCAGGGUUUGUAGCUUGUUAUGUUGCUGAUUCCUGUGUUUGUUUUUAUAAUAAAAUGGGAAGAAAAGAAAA